AUUAUAUUAGUUCAUAUAUUAUUAAAACAUUUUAAAAUUUAGUAAGAGUGACUGAGAUUUAAUACUAUAUAAUUUAAUAAGUACUGUAGAGGAAGAUUUCUAAUUAUAUAAUAGUAAAAAUUUUAAUUUGUACCUUUUGCAUCAUGGCUUAGCUAGAUUUAAACUUUAAAUAUAAGUUUCUCGAAAUCUAAUGAGCUAUCUUUUAUCUGUUGUUUUAGCAAAAUAAAGGGUAGUUGUGGAAUAAACUUUUUUAAAGAUAAAGAUAGAGAUGAAAUUUUAUUCGCAUUAGAUGAUAGCUAGUUUUCCUGAAAGGCAUAGAAGUACUUUAGAUUAAGUUUUAUAACAAUUUAUUUAAUUGAAAUUAGUUAAUUUUUUAAUCUACAAAAGUUAUUAAGGAUAAGCUUGCUAACUUGGUUUUAAUAUUUGGCAUUUUAUUUUAUAUUAAAUUUAGGCUUGAAAAUAGCCAUAAUAAAAGAUUAUGUUAUAAUUUCAUUUUACAUAAGAAAUAUAAUGAAUCUGCUUUUGACUUAAUGGAGUGAACUUAUUAAUAACUAUAUAAGUUGUAUUAAUGCUAAGAUGAGUAUUGAAAAUUUAUGUUUUUUAAUUAAGAAGUAUUUUAAUUCUUUAUAUAAUAUUUAUAAAACUUAAAUCAUGAAAAGGAACUCGGCAAAAAGUAUUCUGCCUGUUUAUCAAAAACAUGGCUCCUUGAUAAAAAAAAAUAGGGAGUCGGACCUGCCCAGUGAUAUGGAUUUAAACGGCCGCGGUACUCUGACCGUGCAAAGGUAGCAUAAUCAUUUGCCUUAUAAUUGAAGGCUGGAAUGAAUGGUUUGACAAGAAUACAACUGUCUCUUCAUGAUUUUAUGGAAUUUAAUUUUUAGGUGAAGAAGCCUAAAUAUAAUUGAAAGACGAGAAGACCCUGUCGAGCUUAAAAGAAAUUAGUAAAUUAAAAAAAUAUUAAUUAAAAUACUAAUUACUAAAAAUUUUGGUUGGGGCGACAAAGGAACCAAAGAAACUUCCUUUACAGUGAUUAUUUAUUUUCAGAUAUUGAUCCAAAACCAUUUUGAUUAAAGGAAUUAGUUACCGCAGGGAUAACAGCAUAAUCUUUUUUGAGAGUUCUUAUCGAAAAAAGGGUUUGUGACCUCGAUGUUGGACCAGAAUAUCCUAAAGAUGCAGCAGUCUUUAAGGGUUGGUCUGUUCGACCAUUAAAAUUCUACGUGAUCUGAGUUCAGACCGGCGUGAGCCAGGUCAGUUUCUAUCUUCAAUUUAUUACUUAAGCUUAGUACGAAAGGACCAGUUUUAUAACAAAGUAAUGUAACAAUAGAAAAAAUAUAAUUGACAAUUUAAGUA
rnacentral:rRNA from 1 species